rnacentral:lncRNA from 1 species
UAAAAGUGCAGAGAGCAGUAGCUAUGUAGGAGGUUUGCAGUAUUGAUAAAGUGCUCAAAAUAAAAGCAAACCAGAGAUUUAGAGUGGUUCGGUCAGUCUUGACCUACUCCACUUUUGGCUUCCUCCACCGACGAGGUCACCGACGUCAACUAGAGGCCUUCCUUCAAUAGGCAAAGGCCAACUGCCCUUUAACAGUUUCACUCCUUUUGACGGG